UUCUUGGGAACACUGAAUCAUGAUUCAAAUGUGCAGCGCUUUGAUUCUAGUAAGAAAGGGUGGUGAACCCACUGGGGUGGCUGGAGGAAAAGAGGAAGUUUUGUUCCAGAAGGAACUGUCUGAGGGAU
ensembl:snoRNA SNORD22 Small nucleolar RNA SNORD22